rnacentral:rRNA from 1 species
AUUGAACGCUGGCGGCAGGCCUAACACAUGCAAGUCGAACGAGUGGCGGACGGGUGAGUAAUGUCUGGGAAACUGCCCGAUGGAGGGGGAUAACUACUGGAAACGGUAGCUAAUACCGCAUACCAUCGGAUGUGCCCCGAUGGGAUUAGCUAGUAGGUGGGGUAACGGCUCACCUAGGCUACGAUCCCUCGCUGGUCUGAGAGGAUGACCAGCCACACUGGAACUGAGAAACGGUCCAGACUCCUACGGGAGGCAGCAGUGGGGAAUAUUGGACAAUGGGGGAAAGCCUGAUUCAGCCAUGCCGCGUGUAUGAAGAAGGCCUUCGGGUUGUAAGGUACGUUUAGCAGGGAGGCGUUACCUGCAGAAGAAGCACCGGCUAACUACGUGCCAGCAGCCGCGGUAAUAC